UUUUGAUGGAAUACAGUAACCUCCCAGCUUCACCAUUUCAGAUGUUUCUCGAGGUAAUAACAGAGGAGCAGGUGGAUGAACCCUAAGUGAUUCUUUGAUAACACUUCUAAGCUGAGGAAACCACAAGAGUUGGAAUCAAUCCCAGUCGCAGAAACACGAGAGGACCAUACUUUUUGGAGAGUUCUUGCAGCGAUCGAUGGGGAUACCUGCCCAGCUGAUGAAGGUUUCCAAGUAUUGGUAGCUUCGGUGGUGAUGGAGAUGCGGGGGGGUUUCUUGCAAACAGGAGUCCAUUUUCUUCUUCAACGUCCAACACAGAGAUGUCAGGAAGCUUCCAGGCGAACCAGUAGAGAAGAUUUGUUGAAAGGAAGCAAUUGCAAACGAUAUUCCAUUAGACUACAAUGGUAAUGGGGUGAGAUGGA